UACGUAGGGGGCGAGCGUUGUCCGGAUUUAUUGGGCGUAAAGGGCGCGUAGGCGGUGCUCUGAGUCGUGCGUGAAAGGCCCUGGCUCAACUGGGGAGGGUCGUGCGAUACUGGGGCGCUGGAGGGCGGGAGAGGGAAGCGGAAUUCCCGGUGUAGUGGUGGAAUGCGUAGAUAUCGGGAGGAACACCAGUGGCGAAGGCGGCUUCCUGGUCCGUACCUGACGCUGAGGCGCGAAAGCGUGGGGAGCGAACUGG
rnacentral:rRNA from 1 species